rnacentral:SRP_RNA from 1 species
GCUGGACAUGAUGGCUUGUGCCUAUAGUUCCAGCUACCACGGAUGCCAAGGGAGGAGAAUUGCUUGAGUCCAGGAGUUCUGGGCUAUAGUGUGUUAUGCUGAUUGGGUGUCUGCACUAAGUUCGGCAUCAGUGUGGUGACCUCCUAGGAGUGGGGGACCACCAGGUUGCCUAAGGAGGGUUGAACUGAUGCAGACCAGAAAUGGAGCAGAUCAGAACUCCUGUGCUGAUCAGCAGUGGGAUUGUGCCUAUGAAUAGCACUGCAUUCUAGCCUGGGAAAUACAGCGAGACCCUGUCUUU